GACGAACGCUGGCGGCGUGCUUAACACAUGCAAGUCGAACGGAAAGGCCCUGCUUUUGUGUGGUUCUCGAUUGGCGAACGGGUGAGUAACACGUGUGUAUCCUGCCCUUGACUUUGGGAUAACUUCAGGAAACUGGGGCUAAUACCGGAUAGGAUCUCCUGCUGCAUGGGGUGGGUUGGAAAGUUUCGGCGGUUGGGGAUGGACUCGCGGCUUAUCAGCUUGUUUGUGUAGUAGUGGCUUACCAAGGCUUUGACGGGUAGCCGGCCUGAGAGGGUGACCGGCCACAUUGGGACUGCGAUACGGCCCAGACUCCUACGGGAGGCAGCAGGGGGAAAUAUUGCAGAAUGGGCGGACGUCUGAUGCAGAAACGCCGCGUGCGGGAUGACGGCCUUCGGGUUGAAAACAGAUUUCGCAUGUGCCGAAGCGUGCGUGACGGUAAUGGGUAAAGAAGCACCGGCUAACUACGUG
rnacentral:rRNA from 1 species